GAAGAUUACAAUUUCAGAAGUGACGAACUGAUCAGUCUAUGGAUCGGACUAGAUAUUUUGAUACCCAAUGGGCAAGACCAAACAUUUGAAGACAUAGGUCUGAGCAAUUUAAAUGAGUUAGUCACCCAUGGAUUUUUCAGAGAAGAGAAAACUAUGUAUGGUCUGCGUUAUGUUAUGCAUGACCUGCUGCAUGAUUUGGCAUUGAAGGUUGCAUCUCAUGAUUGUCUUAGUUUAAGUCUCCCUGGUGUUGGAUCAGUAGAGAUUCAGCCAACCACCCGUCACUUGUCAAUAAGCACAUAUGGUUUAGGUAUAUAUGAUGCAGUGUCUGGUAAAAAAUUGAAGAGUGAAUUGGAAGAACUAAAGACAAGAUUUAAGGUUGAAGAUUUGCAAACAUUAAUGUUAUUUGGAGAAAUGGAUGAAGGUUUUGUCAAGAUAUUUGGUGAUUUUUUGGGGGAACCGAACACUCUUCGUGUUCUUCAUUUGCCCAAAAUGCUUUGUCCCAUGGAGUUCAUGUUACAUAACUUUUCGGGACUUCUCCACCUACGAUACCUAUGUCUAGGGACAGAUGAGAGCCAGAUGCAUUUACCACUUAGCAUCUCUAAAUUUUAUCAUUUAAGGAUUCUAUAUCUUGAUUUGUGGGAUGGCAGCUGUGAUUUGCCCAAAGACAUGAGCAACCUUGCUAAAUUGUGCCAUUUUUAUGUUCCUAGUGAUGAUCAGCUUCAUUCUGAUAUUUCUAAUGUCGGGAAACUUAAACUCUUAGAAGAGUUGAAGGUAUUUCAAGUCAAUAAAAGAAGUGAAGGGUUUGAAACAAAGCAACUAGAGCACUUGACCAAGCUAAGGGAGCUUGGCAUCUACAACCUUGAGAAGAUAGAUACAGCAGAAGAAGCAACUCAAGCAAAACUGAUGGAGAAAAAUUACUUGAGGAGGUUAACAUUGGACUGGGAUAGUAAGCGAUCUAGUGUUGAGCCUGGUGUGGAAGCAACGGUUCUUGAGGGCCUUCAACCACAUGGAGAUCUUCAAGUGUUGUGCAUUAGAGGGCACGUAGGUCCUUCUUGUCCAACAUGGCUGGGUGAUGAGUUCGCAGUUGAAGGUCUACAAUCUCUUUAUCUGGAUGGUGUUUCUUGGGAACUUUUCCCUUCUUUAGGGAAGGCAUGGGAUCUUCGUGAAUUAAGGUUUGAGCAUAUUGACAGACUGAAGGAGUUUAUCAUAGAGAAAAGCUUUUGCGUGCUAACAAAGCUUAAACUCAUUGGCCUAGGAAGUUUUGAAAAUUGGGUUUACACAGGUGAACAAGAGUCUUCCAUUAGUGGAGAAUUGUUGCCACCGGAUGCUCAUAUGUUCCCUCUUUUGCAAGUUCUGGUUAUUAGAGAGUGCCCGAAACUAUUGGGGUUGCCUUUC
rnacentral:rRNA from 1 species